rnacentral:misc_RNA from 1 species
AACACCCAGAGAGGCAAUUGAAGGUAUGAUGAUUUCUGCACAGUUAGUCAUUGGAUUGAAUUGCUUUAGUUGGUAAUUCACAUUUUAUGUUAUAUUGGUUUGAUAUUGAAUUUAAUUUGCAUAAUAUUACAAUUAAAGUUGUUUAUAUGUUUGAAGGAUUUUAGUUUGUUAUAAUUGAGGGGACAAUUCUUUUCCAUGAUUUUAUUAUCACCCUUUGAACUGGAUUUUAGUCAAUAUUUGAAAUGCUAAACUUGUUAACUUUGGUUUUGGUCCUAACUGCUGAUUUACAUUUUGCUUAAUUGAUUCCUAUUAGCUUCCACUUGUAUAAAAAUUUGUUCCCUAUAUGCAGCACGGAGAAUUUAGAUUAAACAUCAUUGUUGUUUGAUUUUAAGUUAUGAUGAAGCUAUUUUAUCACCUUAAUUUUUAUCAUUUGUUGGUGCUGUUUAGGGAUUAACAAAUAAGUUCUCAGUGUCUUAUUUUUGUGUACAAUUUUGUGAGAAAUGGAUCUUACCUGGCAAAAAUGCAAGCACAUAGAAAAAUAAAACAGCUAUGUAUCUUCUUUACAACUUUGAUAAGCACAUUGAAGUGAUUAUUUGUCAUGCAUGUCAGUUGUAUGCCAUUGUGUCCUAACACGCUCGGUUAAACUAAAUUGGAGCUAAAAAUUUGAAGUUAAAGUAUUAUAGGAUGAUAUGCUCGAUUCAAAUUCAUAGAAGUGCUGGAUGAGGCUCGUUGACAAAGAGCACUUUUUUAUUGUUGUUACAGGGACAUAUAUUGAUAAAAAGUG